rnacentral:rRNA from 1 species
UACGUAGGGGGCAAGCGUUAUCCGGAAUCACUGGGCGUAAAGGGCGUCUAGGCGGCAUGGCAAGUCUCGCGUGAAAGCUCCCGGCUCAACUGGGAGAGCGCGCGGGAAACUGCUAGGCUAGAGACUCGGAGAGGGGUGUGGAAUUCCCGGUGGAGUGGUGAAAUGCGUUGAGAUCGGGAGGAACACCAGUAGCGAAGGCGGCACCCUGGCCGAGUUCUGACGCUGAAGCGCGACAGCGUGGGGAGCAAACGGG